UAGUGGUGUACAGGUGAGUAUUUGAUUAUCAACCUACCUUAAAGUAAGGGUAAAUCCCUUAUAUUAACAAAGGUUAUUCCGCUUUAAGAUGACUCGAUAAAUCAUAGAGAUAGGUAGUUGUUAAGGUAAUGGCUUAACUAGCCCAAAACUCUUAGUCGAAACUUAAUGGUUGAUCGACCACAUUGGGAAUGAAAAAAUCCCAAUACAAACAAGUACAGCAGUGGGGAAUAUUGGUCAAUGGCCUAACGGCUGAACUGGCAACUUGGAGGAAUGGCCUAAUUUACUAAAGUAUUAUUUAGUGAAUAUUAGAGUGAAAUGGUUAAAUCGAUUUUCGAAUAAAAUUCUAAAUAUAUAAAUUAUAAUGACUAUAUAUAUUUAUGUCUUGACUAAUUACGUGCCAGCAGUCGCGGUAAUACGUAAGAGACUAGUGUUAAUCAUUUUUAUUAGGUUUAAAGGGUACCUAGACGGAAGAAAUUUGCCUGAAAAGGAACAAUUUCUAUCUAGAGUUUAAUAUGGGAAGGUAGAACCUAAGGAGUAGAGAUUGAAUUUGUUUAUACCUGUAGGGACUGAUAAAGGCGAAGGCAACCUUUUAUGUAAUAACUGACGUUGAAGUACGAAGGCUUAGGUAACGAAUAGGAUUAGAUACCCUAGUAGUCUAAGCAGAUAACGAUGAAUGCCAUAAGUUAGGGUAUACUUAACUUCUAAAUGAAAAUAUAAGCAUUUCACCUCAAGAGUAACGUGGCAACACGGAAACUAAUCACUAGACCGUUUCUGACAACAGUAGUGAAGUAUGUUAUUUAAUUCGAUGACCCUCGAAAAACCUUACCACAAUUGGAAUUUUAUUUAUAGUAUCAGAUAUUAUAAAUAUUACGAGUGUUGCACGGCUGUUUUCGGUUAAUGUUGUGAAACUGUGGCUACGGCCAUGAAAUUAACGAAAACCCUUGCUUUAUUUAUAAACAUUAUUAUAAAGCAGAUUUAAUCUUUAUAUGGAUUUAAUAAUAGGGCCAAAGACAAGUCAUCAUGACCUUUAUAUUGUGGGCUAUAGACGUGCCACAUAUUCCUAGACAAAGAGAUGCGAAAAUGUGAAUUUGAGCUAAUCUCAAAAAAUAGGAUAAAAUAGGAUAUGGAUUGUAGUCUGAAACUCGACUACAUGAAUAAGUAAUUACUAGUAAUCGGUCACCUCGGAUUGGUACUAACCACUCG
rnacentral:rRNA from 1 species